UACGGAGGGUGCGAGCGUUGUCCGGAAUCACUGGGCGUAAAGGGCGCGUAGGCGGUCCGGUAAGCGCGUGGUGAAAGCCCGGGGCUCAACCCCGGGUCGGCCGUGCGGACUGCGGGACUCGAGCACUGUAGAGGCGGGCGGAAUUCCGGGUGUAGCGGUGGAAUGCGUAGAGAUCCGGAAGAACACCGGUGGCGAAGGCGGCCCGCUGGGCAGGUGGCUGACGCUGAGGCGCGACAGCGUGGGGAGCAAACAGG
rnacentral:rRNA from 1 species